rnacentral:rRNA from 1 species
UACGUAGGGUGCGAGCGUUGUCCGGAAUACUGGGCGUAAAGAGCUCGUAGGUGGUUUGUCGCGUUGUUCGUGAAAACCGGGGGCUUAACCCUCGGCGUGCGGGCGAUACGGGCAGACUGGAGUACUGCAGGGGAGACUGGAAUUCCUGGUGUAGCGGUGGAAUGCGCAGAUAUCAGGAGGAACACCGGUGGCGAAGGCGGGUCUCUGGGCCGAUAUUGACGCUGAGGAGCGAAAGCGUGGGGAGCGAACAGG